CUACGGGGUGCUCCAGUGGGGAAUAUUGCGCAAUGGGGGAAACCCUGACGCAGCGACGCCGUGUGCGGGAGGAAGGCCUUCGGGUCGUAAACCGCUGUCAGAAGGGAUGAAAAACCGGCAGGAUAAUACCCUGUCGGCUUGAUGGUACCUUCAGAGGAAGCACCGGCUAACUCCGUGCCAGCAGCCGCGGUAAUACGGAGGGUGCAAGCGUUGUUCGGAAUUACUGGGCGUAAAGCGCGCGCAGGCGGCCGCGCAAGUCUGAUGUGAAAUCCCUGGGCCCAACCCAGGACGUGCAUUGGAAACUGCGUGGCUCGAGUACGGGAGAGGAGAGCGGAAUUCCUGGUGUAGAGGUGAAAUUCGUAGAUACCAGGAGGAACACCGGUGGCGAAGGCGGCUCUCUGGACCGAUACUGACGCUGAGGCGCGAAAGCGUGGGUAGCAAACAGGAUUAGAUACCCGCGUAGUC
rnacentral:rRNA from 1 species